UGGAUUCAUUUCAGGUUAACUGUCUUUUGUUAACUCCAAAAAUAUUAAUUUUAUGGAGAGUGGUUUAUAAUUUACUUUUGUAGGGAUUAGAAAGACAAGGUAUAAGUGUGAUCUGAACAUUAAAAUGAGGACAAAGAAACUAACCGAAUGCAUUGAUGAUAAUAAAAAUGAAUAUGUAUUUUAUCAGAAAUGUAAAUAUAGGCUGUGCUACUUACAUCUGGUUAUUGUUUUUAUGAGUUAUAAUGGUACUGGACAAUUCACCAUUACGAAGUUAGCGUUUUCAUAAUAUAAACUAUAAAACUAACCCUCCACAGAAUCAUUGGAUAUUAUAACAUUCAUGUCACUCCGUGUUGCGAUAACACAAAUAUUUAAAGCCAAUACAUAUAUGACUUUUCUCAUAUGUCAUUAUCGUAUCUUGAAUCUGUAUAUUUCCUCUCUUUUGUGUCACUGUCAAAUUUUUAAAUCUCUCUAUGGCGUUGCUUCUAAUAAAAAUAUCGGUGUAAAGUUUCUUCUUAUUACUAUUAAAAAAAAGGAAAACUGCUGAUGCAAACGAGAAGAAGAAAAUGCAGGACACUAUUGAUGAUUUGAGAGCAAAAUUAAAACAAAACAGACGUACCAUGCAGUCUCAACCAUCGCCAAAAGAUAACUGUCUGUCGUGCCAUAAACCAAAGUCGUCUUGUACAUGU